rnacentral:rRNA from 1 species
UACGGAGGGUGCGAGCGUUGUCCGGAAUCACUGGGCGUAAAGGGCGCGUAGGUGGCCUGUGGAAGUCUGCGGUGAAAGCCCGGCGCUCAACGCCGGGUCGGCCGUGGAUACUCUCGGGCUCGAGCUUACUAGAGGCAGAUGGAAUUCCGGGUGUAGCGGUGGAAUGCGUAGAGAUCCGGAGGAACACCGGUGGCGAAGGCGGGUCUCUGGGCCGUUACUGACGCUGAGGAGCGAAAGCGUGGGGAGCGAACAGG